UACGUAGGGUGCGAGCGUUGUCCGGAAUUAUUGGGCGUAAAGGGCGCGUAGGCGGCGCAACAAGUCACUUGUGAAAUCUCCGGGCUUAACCCGGAGCGGUCAAGUGAUACUGUCGUGCUAGAGUGCGGAAGGGGCUACUGGAAUUCUCGGUGUAGCGGUGAAAUGCGUAGAGAUGUGGAGGAACACCGAUGGCGAAGGCAGCCCCCUGGGUCAAGAUUGACGCUCAUGCACGAAAGCGUGGGGAGCAAACAGG
rnacentral:rRNA from 1 species